UACAGAGGGUGCAAACGUUGUUCGGAAUUACUGGGCUUAAAGCGCACGUAGGCGGCGUUGUAAGUGUCGGGUGAAAUCCCACGGCUCACCCGUGGAACUGCCCGGCAUACUGCGAUGCUAGAGUGUGGUAGGGGAGAGCGGAACUCCUGGUGGAGCGGUGAAAUGCGUAGAUAUCAGGAGGAACACCGGUGGCGAAGGCGGCUCUCUGGUCCACAACUGACGCUGAGGUGCGAAAGCUAGGGGAGCAAACGGG
rnacentral:rRNA from 1 species